rnacentral:rRNA from 1 species
UCGAGAUGAGCAACAGGGAUUGCCCCAGUAACGGCGAGUGAAGCGGCAACAGCUCAAAUUUGAAAUCUGGCCCUCGGGUCCGAGUUGUAAUUUGCAGAGGAUGCUUCGGGCGAGGUGCCUUCCGAGUUCCCUGGAACGGGACGCCAUAGAGGGUGAGAGCCCCGUCUGGUCGGACACCGAGCCCGUGUGAAGCUCCUUCGAAGAGUCGAGUAGUUUGGGAAUGCUGCUCAAAAUGGGAGGUAUAUGUCUUCUAAAGCUAAAUAUUGGCCAGAGACCGAUAGCGCACAAGUAGAGUGAUCGAAAGAUGAAAAGCACUUUGAAAAGAGGGUUAAAAAGUACGUGAAAUUGUUGAAAGGGAAGCGCCCAUGACCAGACUUGGGCCCGGUGAAUCAUCCGGCGUUCUCGCCGGUGCACUUUGCCGGGCACAGGCCAGCAUCAGUCUGGCGCGGGGGAUAAAGGCUUCGGGAAUGUGGCUCCCUCGGGAGUGUUAUAGCCCGUUGCGCAAUACCCUGCGCCGGACUGAGGUACGCGCAUCGCAAGGAUGCUGGCGUAAUGGUCAUCAGCGACCCGUCUUGAAACACGGACCAAGGAGUCGUCUUCGUAUGCGAGUGUUCGGGUGUCAAACCCCUACGCGGAAUGAAAGUGAACGCAGGUGAGAGCUUCGGCGCAUCAUCGACCGAUCCUGAUGUUCUCGGAUGGAUUUGAGUAAGAGCAUACGGGGCCGGACCCGAAAGAAGGUGAACUAUGCCUGUAUAGGGUGAAGCCAGAGGAAACUCUGGUGGAAGCUCGCAGCGGUUCUGACGUGCGAAUCGAUCGUCAAAUAUGGGCAUGGGGGCGAAAGACUAAUCGAACCUUCUAUAGCUGGGUUCCCAGAAUUUUCCUCCCC